GGUGCUUGAAGAUAGGUUAUCCGUGUUGCCUUCGCUGUACUCGUGACGAAUCAUACACGGUUGGCCUAUUUUCCAGUACC
rnacentral:pre_miRNA from 14 species